AAGCGACAGUCUCGCCGAGGAUUCGGAUUUCAUUCUAACAGGGGCUUCACUCGCGAUCUCACGAGAUCACUGCGUUCCGCAGGGACUGAAAUUCGUCAGUAAUAGUCCGUCGAUAGUGAAGAGGUUGUUUACAGAUCCGGCUGAAUCACACGCGUGUUCACCUGCGUGUUCAACCAGGGAAGUGGAGUGCGGAUCUCAAUGCAUGAUUAACAGUGUGUUUGUGUGAAUAAGUUUUUUUGAUACAAGCCUUCUUUUUUAAAAACAAUCAGAGACCGAAACGGAUAACGCCCCCGAACCAAAUCAGGAAGCAGAGCGAUGCCGGAGAGAGCGCGGACAUCCCGCUAGACCUCUGUUUAAACACAGGUUUGCUCAGCGACGGGUUAACAGCAACGUCUCUAACCAGGAAGUGAGACCUGAAUGGUUCCGACGGCCGACUCUCCGCCAGUGCCGUGACGGAGGAUUCUUGCGCUUCGCCUCUUCGGCAAGAUCCUCUACAGGCAAUAGAAAAUGCAAUCCUCAGUUUAAAUAGAUCUGAUAAUCCGUUUCUGGAAAUUGAAGCCACUAUUUGUUCUAUAAACACAGA